rnacentral:lncRNA from 1 species
ACCAUUCUCCUUGCUUUGAGAUACUAAAUGAUAUGACCUCCAAAUUCCUGCCCUAGCCCUUUGCAUUUGAUAAAUGAAUUAAAUAUAAAUAAUUGGUUAUAUUUUGCUGAACUUGAUGCCUGCAAUAAAUGUCAUUGGUGUCAUGGAAAACAAUUUAUAAGAAAAGAAUUGUUUCAACUACAGAGUAGGCAGUGCAAGAGACUAAUGGGAAGGAUUAGCAAGAGGGCAUUUCUGUAAUGACAUCAUAACAGCCAAGAUUAUUUCAGGAGCAAUCUUAUUCAUGCCAAGAACAAGAAAAAGCAAUGUGACAGGUCUAAUGUUCCUAUGUUUGUUUUGAUAUAAUACCUUUUUCCUAGGUGAGUGGAGAAAAUAAAGAGACUGGUGAUGCAGAGAUUUCAAACCAGCUUAAGCAUUAAUUUAGUUGUGUGAAUUUCUAUUACCUACCUACUGAAUUUCAUGGAACCCCUUUGCUAACCAAAAGAAUAGUCAGAGACAAGAUUUUGGUGGAUUUUACAAUCCUUUGUCUAAAAUACUGCUGCUAAUGUGGAAAUGGCAAAGGUUAGCAUAGCAUACUACCCCAGACAGGUUUUACAUUUUUAGUAAAAUUCCCAAAGGAGCAUUGAACCACUGAAAUGUUGUCAAAGGUUAUGUUUAGUUCAUGAGACAGACUCAAAACAAUGGAGUUUUUCUCUCACACAAAUUUCCAGAUGAUAAAAAAAAAUUUAAAAAGCGAAUUAAAUAGAGAGAAGUAAGUGAGACAUUAUUUCUCCUAAGUUGUUUUAUUGCCUGCCAGGAAAAUAUCUUCAGGAGAUGGACUGAAAAGGAAAAGACUUCUGUAGUGAGCAUCUGAGCUGCAGCAGAUUUGUGGGUAUUAUUGGCUUUUUCAGACAUCAAAUGCAAACUGUGUGAAAGAUGAUGGAGGUGCUCAAACUGGAAUGGGGAAUGAAAAUGAGCAAAUAGAAGAUCAUGCUCAAUAAAAACACAAAAUGAUAAUCAGAAUAAAUGAGACUAUCAGUGCACAAGUAGAAGAAAAUCAACUAGGAACAUCUGUUCAGAAGCCUCCAUGUGGUGAACGCGAAAGAAGUAGCUAGAAGGAACGGAAUUGAGAAAGGAUUACAAUCUCAAAUUUGACAUAACCACUGUGAUUGUAACAUCCUGCUAGCAAAUGCAAUUGCUGUAAAAUCCAUGUGAAAAAAUGAUCCUCUGAACGCAAGUCUCUGAAAAAGAAAACACCACUAGAGCUGGUACAGAGCAGGUAUGCAAUAAAUAUUUUGAUGAAUGAAUGAAUAAAGGAAAU